rnacentral:tRNA from 1 species
UCUUUCGUAGCUUAGUGGUAAGAGCUUUGGUGCUUAAAGCCAAAGGGCCCGGGUUCGAUCCCUGUGGGGGUG